rnacentral:rRNA from 1 species
GAUGAACGCUGGCGGCGUGCCUAAUACAUGCAAGUCGAGCGAACAGACGAGGAGCUUGCUCCUCUGACGUUAGCGGCGGACGGGUGAGUAACACGUGGAUAACCUACCUAUAAGACUGGGAUAACUUCGGGAAACCGGAGCUAAUACCGGAUAAUAUAUUGAACCGCAUGGUUCAAUAGUGAAAGACGGUUUUGCUGUCACUUAUAGAUGGAACCGCGCCGCAUUAGCUAGUUGGUAAGGUAACGGCUUACCAAGGCAACGAUGCGUAGCCGACCUGAGAGGGUGAUCGGCCACACUGGAACUGAGACACGGUCCAGACUCCUACGGGAGGCAGCAGUAGGGAAUCUUCCGCAAUGGGCGAAAGCCUGACGGAGCAACGCCGCGUGAGUGAUGAAGGUCUUCGGAUCGUAAAACUCUGUUAUUAGGGAAGAACAAAUGUGUAAGUAACUAUGCACGUCUUGACGGUACCUAAUCAGAAGGCCACGGCUAACUACGUG